UUGGGUAGGGGAGCGUUCUGUAAGCCUGUGAAGGUGUGUCGUGAGGCAUGCUGGAGGUAUCAGAAGUGCGAAUGCUGACAUAAGUAACGAUAAAGCGGGUGAAAAGCCCGCUCGCCGGAAGACCAAGGGUUCCUGUCCAACGUUAAUCGGGGCAGGGUGAGUCGACCCCUAAGGCGAGGCCGAAAGGCGUAGUCGAUGGGAAACGGGUUAAUAUUCCCGUACUUGGUGUUACUGCGAAGGGGGGACGGAGAAGGCUAUGUUGGCCGGGCGACGGUUGUCCCGGUUUAAGCGUGUAGGUGUGUGUUCCAGGUAAAUCCGGUUCACUUUAACACUGAGGCGUGACGACGAGGCACUACGGUGCUGAAGCAACAAAUGCCCUGCUUCCAGGAAAAGCCUCUAAGCAUCAGGUAACAUCAAAUCGUACCCCAAACCGACACAGGUGGUCAGGUAGAGAAUACCAAGGCGCUUGAGAGAACUCGGGUGAAGGAACUAGGCAAAAUGGUGCCGUAACUUCGGGAGAAGGCACGCUGACACGUAGGUGAAGUGAUUUACUCAUGGAGCUGAAGUCAGUCGAAGAUACCAGCUGGCUGCAACUGUUUAUUAAAAACACAGCACUGUGCAAACACGAAAGUGGACGUAUACGGUGUGACGCCUGCCCGGUGCCGGAAGGUUAAUUGAUGGGGUCAGCGCAAGCGAAGCUCCUGAUCGAAGCCCCGGUAAACGGCGGCCGUAACUAUAACGGUCCUAAGGUAGCGAAAUUCCUUGUCGGGUAAGUUCCGACCUGCACGAAUGGCGUAAUGAUGGCCAGGCUGUCUCCACCCGAGACUCAGUGAAAUUGAACUCGCUGUGAAGAUGCAGUGUACCCGCGGCAAGACGGAAAGACCCCGUGAACCUUUACUAUAGCUUGACACUGAACAUUGAGCCUUGAUGUGUAGGAUAGGUGGGAGGCUUUGAAGUGUGGACGCCAGUCUGCAUGGAGCCGACCUUGAAAUACCACCCUUUAAUGUUUGAUGUUCUAACGUGGACCCGUUACCCGGGUUGCGGACAGUGUCUGGUGGGUAGUUUGACUGGGGCGGUCUCCUCCUAAAGAGUAACGGAGGAGCACGAAGGUUGGCUAAUCCUGGUCGGACAUCAGGAGGUUAGUGCAAUGGCAUAAGCCAGCUUGACUGCGAGCGUGACGGCGCGAGCAGGUGCGAAAGCAGGUCAUAGUGAUCCGGUGGUUCUGAAUGGAAGGGCCAUCGCUCAACGGAUAAAAGGUACUCCGGGGAUAACAGGCUGAUACCGCCCAAGAGUUCAUAUCGACGGCGGUGUUUGGCACCUCGAUGUCGGCUCAUCACAUCCUGGGGCUGAAGUAGGUCCCAAGGGUAUGGCUGUUCGCCAUUUAAAGUGGUACGCGAGCUGGGUUUAGAACGUCGUGAGACAGUUCGGUCCCUAUCUGCCGUGGGCGCUGGAGAACUGAGGGGGGCUGCUCCUAGUACGAGAGGACCGGAGUGGACGCAUCACUGGUGUUCGGGUUGUCAUGCCAAUGGCACUGCCCGGUAGCUAAAUGCGGAAGAGAUAAGUGCUGAAAGCAUCUAAGCACGAAACUUGCCCCGAG
rnacentral:rRNA from 2 species